CUUUGCCUUCUGGUUGAACCAUAAUAAUCUGUGGAUUUUUUGGUUGCAUAUAAAAAUUUAUUGGUGUAUGCCUUGUCUCAUGCCAUGAGAUUGUGUUGAUUCACAAAAGGUUGGGUUCUAUACAUUAUAUUUGUAAUGUUAUCCUGUGCAAUUUUGACAUGUUAGAAUAAUUUUCUGUACAUUCCUGGCAACAACCAAAAUAAUCCUUCUCAUCAAUUUCAUCAUUAAGCAUUCUAAGAGAGAAAAAGGCGAAAGACAUUGUGUUUGCUAUAAGUUUUUCAUGUACUUUAGUCAGGAUGAGCAAGAUGUUUUGUCAUUUGAUAGUGUGUUUGAGAAAAUUUUUUACAAGAAACAAAAACCAUGAGAUCUUCAUACUGGGGGAACUCUACUGGUAAUUUUCAUUGUGGAAAAAUGUUGAACGGUGUGUUAGUUCCACCUCACUCAUGCUGGGAACUCUCAUUUUGGCUUCUUCUUAAUGGAUAAAUGGCACGGUCGCUUUGCAGGCUAAUCAUGCUCUUUUGGAAG
rnacentral:misc_RNA from 1 species